rnacentral:ncRNA from 1 species
GGUUAAGCUGAUAAGAGCGCAGGGUGGAUGCCUUGGCACUAAGAGCCGACGAAAGACGUGAUAAGCUGCGAAAAGCUGUGGGGAGGAGCAAAUAUCCCUUGAUCCACAGAUAUCUGAAUGGGGAAACCCGGCUGAGGAAACCUCAGUCACCGUUAACUGAAUCCAUAGGUUAACGGAGGGAACCCGGUGAACUGAAACAUCUAAGUAGCCGGAGGAAGAGAAAGAAACAUCGAUUUUGUGAGUAGCGGCGAGCGAAAGCGAAAGAGCCCAAACCGGGUUGCG